rnacentral:rRNA from 1 species
GACAGAGGUGCCGAGCGUUAGGCGGAAUCACUGGGCUUAAAGCGUGUGUAGGCGGGCGAUCAAGUACCUUGUGAAAUCCCCACGGCUCAACCGUGGAACCGCUGGGUAUACUGGUUGUCUUGAGCCGGCUAGGGGCGAGCGGAACAGACGGUGGAGCGGUGAAAUGCGUAGAUAUCGUCUGGAACGCCGAAGGUGAAAACAGCUCGCUGGGGCCGCGCUGACGCUGAGACACGAAAGCCAGGGGAGCGAACGGG